GAUCGCAGGCUGCAACCCGCCUGCGUGAAGUUGGAAUCGCUAGUAAUCGCGAAUCAGCAUGCCGCGGUGAAUACGUUCCCGGGCCUUGUACACACCGCCCGUCACACCAUGAGAGUCGGGAACACCCGAAGUCCGUAGCCUAACUUUAACGAGGGGGCGCGGCCGAAGGUGGGUUCGAUAAUUGGGGUGAAGUCGUAACAAGGUAUC
rnacentral:rRNA from 1 species